ACAUGAGGUAUAUGGGUUAACAAGUCCCAAUAUUGUCCUCCAUCCUUUCUGCACUUCUCUUCUAUCAACGGACAUUCCCAGAUAUUUAAUUGCAAAAGUGAGGAAGGCAGGCCCUUCUCCGGAAAGUAUUUGAGCUUGGGACAAUCAUAGAGAUACAAAUGAGUGAGGUUUUGAAGAUCAACAAUUGAAGAAGAUAGGCGUUCCAGAUUUGGAAAAUCUUGAAUCCACAGAGACGUUAGAGAGGCAGGAAGAGGAAGCGCGGUCCCUAAUCUUUUGUCCUCUAGUGGAAAUGACACCAUCACCGUGUCGUCAUCACAUCCUUGGAUUAUGAGUUCUCGCAAAGAGGAGAAUCUGUGAAAUCCCCGGCCCCGCUCAAUCAUUGACUUCCAAAUCUCCAUAUUACCCCAAAUACAAAGUGACUGAAGGUUGGUGGGAAGGCCAUCUUCUUCAAGGCUUGGAAGCUCACCUCCUCUUCUUAUUGUUAAUUUUUGAAGAGAGGUCAGAUUGUGCAAUCCCUUGGGUAAGGCCUCUAGUCUCUCACAAUCAGAUAUCGUCAGCCUCCUGAGUUUCGCACAAGGCAAUCCCCCUUCGGGAAAGGACACCAGGUUUCCACAACUCCGUAUAGUAAUCCCUCGAAGCUGCCGGAGAUUAUGUAAACCACUCGGUAAAUUUUUUAGAUUUUCACAAUCAUCUACACUAAUUGUUUCAAGAGAUGUGUUGUUGUCCAACCUUUCUGCUAUUGACUCCAGCUUUGAACAUCCAUAAACACGAAGGGACUUAAGAGACGGAGGUAGAUUGCCAACUUCAAGGGACUCAAGCGUGGCAGGUAACUCGUUUUUUGAAAAUAUACAUGUCAGUGAUGGACAAUCCCUAAUUUCUAACUUCUCAAGAAGAGAUGAGGUGUACCUUCUAUUGCUGCUGCUUCUGCUACUCUGGAUGCCCUCUUCCACUGUCAAAGUCCUUAUAUUAUCGCAACACCAGAUCAUCAACUUCUUAAGGCUUGAUGGUAGCUGGACAGCAGCAAUAUAUGUCAACGAAUGGCAAUACUCAAUAUACAAGAUCUCCAGAGACGAAUUGGUGUCGCACAUCCAUGCCUCUGGUAACGAUUUCAGUGCAUCACAUUCCCCAAUCAGAAUUUUCUUCAACUUGGAAGGCAGAGCAACCUCAGGAAAGGAAACAAGGGAACUGCAUUUGUAGAUGUCUAUCUCUCUCAAGGAACUGAGGCUGAACGAUGAUUGUGGCAACUUCACAAGGCCUUCGCAUUCUCUCAAUCUUAGACAUUCAAGUCUGCAUGACAACUCGCGGAGCUGCUGUUGUUGGUCUUUCUCUUCCUCCGCGACCAAGGAUUGAAGUUUGGGACAACUUGUAAUCAGCAGUCUUUUGAGAGAGCAAAUGUCUUGCAGUAAUUCGUUAUGACUCUUCCAUAUAUGUGUUUCAUUUUUAAUAUUUUUUAUCUCCAAUUCUUCCAGUUUUGGUAUUCGCGGCUUCAAUGGCCCUGCGAGAAACACUUGAUUUGAUGUAUCUCUACAAACCACUGAAUUCUGUGAGCCGAGAUGAUCAGUUGCACUUCUCCACACAACCUUUUUACAUCCACGAAUUACCAAUUUGCAAAGAGCUGGAAGACUCCUAAUUGAAAUUGACAAUUCUUCGCAUUGUUCAAUAACAAGCAUCUCCAAUGCAGGAAGGUGCUCUGGAAAUGUUCCUUGCAGUUUAGAACAUCUUAAAAUGUGAAGCUCUCUCAAUUUAGGAAACCGUUCAACUCCCUGACUGGAUCCAUGAGGAAUCCACUCUUCCCACUCUUGCAGGUUUUCAAAACGAAGAGUCUCCAAGCAUGUAAAUGGAAUUUGAGAGUCAUUCCCAUAGAACUCUGAACCCAAACUCUUUACUCUACUCAUUCCACGCACUGCAAGAUGCUUUAGAAAGGAUAGUUGCCCGACUGACGGCAAGGUAGUACACACGCCGCAAUCUUCAAAUUUAAGUGUCACUAAAUUUGAGAAUGAGGAAUCUCCUAACCAUGUUGGAAAUUUUGUACCUCCAUAGCCACUGAUACAAAAUUGUUCCAGAUUUUCAUGAGGUUUUAGCAUGUCGAGGACAUCCUUUUCAGUUUCUGCCUCCCUUGAAGACAAACCAUUGGUACUCCGUGUCCAUCGAAACUUUAACACUUUAAGAUUCUUCUUUCCAUCCAACCGAGCCUCCUUUGCAUCACCAAUGUCUUUUACAUUCCCUAAAUUUGAAAUUUUAAGUGUCCCCUGAAGAUGUAUCAAUGACUUUAGCUCUCGUAACCCAGAACCAUUGUCUUUUCCCACAGCAAAAUUACUCAACGUCUGAAGACAAGUCAGCUUACCAAUUCCUACUGGCAUUUCCUCCAACGAAUCUGUAUUUGAAUUAUUGAGAUGAUGCAAUUUGAUGAGGUUUCCCGUGGCUGCACACAACUUCUUCAGUCGCCGACAGUCUUCCAACAGAAGGGUGUGCAAAUUGUAAAGCUUGCUGACUGAUUCAGGCAGAGUUUUAAUCUCAGUUCCAGACAGGUUAAGGUGCCUUAAAUACCUCAAAUCACCAACUGAAUCCGGCAGCUCGGAGAUGUGAUAUCCACGCAAAGAGAAGACCCUCAACCGUUGGAGUUUGAACAACUUAGGAAGAAUGCUAUGAGCCAAGUAUCCACGCGAACUAUUUGUCAACAUUACUGGUAAAAAAGUUCGCAAAUGUUGGAUAUCGUACAAGCCCUCAAACCUUUUAACGCCAUCACAUGCUCCACCAAUGUACGAUAGAUGACGAAGAUUUUUGGAAAAACUUUGUUGCUUGUUAACCUCUGAGGUAUACUCCAUUGUGAAGUACAUCUCCCCUGCAGCCCAAUGAGCAAGGUCGUUGACAAGGUCGUGCAUCACAAAUCGUGAUUUAUUGUUGCUUGAUUGCUGAAAAAAAGAUCUUGAACGUAGCUCUUGAAAGAACUUUCGACCUAGAUCUUCAUUAGGAUUCCCGCUCUCUUUGUGAUCCAAGAAACCCGAAGCACACCAUAAUAAAAUUAUCUCCUCCUCUUCAAAUUCAUAAUCCUUUGGAAACAAUGAGCAGUAUGCAAAGCAUUGUUUCAAAGGUGCCGAAAGAUAAUAGUAGCUCACUCUAAGCGCCGGUAUAAUGUCACAUCUCUCUUCUGGUAAAUCCCAUAUCUUGCAACUGAGCACACCUUCCCAAUCACUCCGGUCAAGUUUACCACGCAAGAGACCACCAAGAGUUUUCGCAGCUAAGGGCAAGCCGUUGCAUUUGAUCACUAUCUUCUUGCCAAUUUCCUCCAAUGACUUGUUUGAACUGAAAUCUCUUGUCCCCAAAGAGUGUUGAGCGAACACAGACAGACAAUCAUCAUUUGACAGCUUUUUCAAAUGAUAAGCCCGAGCAGUCCCCAUGAUGGCUGCAACCUCUUGAUUACGAGCUGUGACAAUAAUCUUACUCCCCGGUGCGCCAGCUUCAAACGGACGGCUCAUGUCAACCCAGUCAUUGUAAUUCUCAUUCCAAACAUCGUCUAAAACAAGCAAAAAUUUCUUUUGAGAUAACUUCUUCUUCAGCUCCUCUUGAAGCAAAUUUAAAUCACUGUCAUCAGUAGUCUGCUUAGUAAUGGAUCUUAGAAUUGUUUUUGUUAGCCUGAUAACAUCAAAAUCAUCAGAGACACAAGUCCAUGCCUUGAGAUCAAAAUGACCCUGCACUCGAGCAUCAUUAUAGACAAGCUGAGCGAGAGUGGUUUUGCCCAGCCCGCCCAUGCCUAUAAUAGGAAUAACAGAGAAUUCACCAUCAUUUCUCAAAUCAUCCCUCAACAACAAUUCAACAAUUUCAUUCUUUUCUGUUUCCCUCCCAUAUACCUUGGCUUCAGUCACUAAAGAGGUUGUGGGUAGUCUUUGCCUGUCUUUUCUGGACCUCCCAGCUGAACUUACGUUCAAACCGAGCGAGUCUUUCUGUGUUACAAUAUCUUGAAAUCUGUCGUUGAUCUCUUUGAUUUUGGACAUUAUGGCGUAAUCGAACUGAAUCGAUUGUGGAGUAAAAGUGGUGCAGCAAGUAGGAAUGAGCUUCUGAAACUUACUUGUUCUUGUACGACUGCUACUGGGUUGAUCCUGAGCCGCAGCUGGAUCUCCAUUUCCAAGCAGCAACUUCCUCCGGAAAGCCUCAGUUUGAAACUCAUCCAGCAAGUCUUCAACAUCAAAAGCCAAGUUCUGAAGCUCAUCAAGCCACAACUUCACAGACUGAUCAGUCUUCUUCUCCUCAGCAUCAGCAAGCACCGCCUUGAUCAUCACCAACAUAUUCUUCCACUUCUUUAGGUCGGCUUGGAUUUGCUCUUGGCGUGCAAACAGCCGAAUCCCCUCUGAAGCUAACUUACUGACCAGCAAAUCAACGGACGCCGUAAGGAUUGCCUCUCCGAUGAAUGACAUUUUUUGUUCUUUUUCUUUUUUUUUGGUUUUGCAAAGAAAGAAAGGAGCAGAAUUAUGGGUUAUGGAAAGCAGAAUGAGAAAAUGGAACAGGUGAGAAAAUGGAUAAUUAAGCAGAAUGAGUUUGUGAUUGUGAAGGGUCUGGCCCAGCAAGCUUAGUAGAAAUCACGCGUUUAUACUUUAUUGACCAAUGACUAAUAAUUUGGCAAUUCACUCAUUAAUAUUUAGCAAUUCACCAAUCAUCACCACUUGUUACGAAACCAUCUCAUAAACCAAGUUCGUAGGUCGAGCAGUUAAUCCAGUGUCUAUUUCCUAGAACCUUCAUCUCAUAAACAAGUUCAAUCAAAACGUUCCUCUCUCUAUUUUUUUUUUUUUUCAAAACUCCUAAAACGUUUCUUUUUAGAAAUAUUUUACUUUAUUCAUCUAAUAUGUUAUCUAACAAAUAGACACAAUUGAAAUCACUCUAAAGUGAAGAUGAAAGGGGAAAAAAAUAACCUUCCAACCACCAGUAAUUUAGCAAGCUUCACUUUAUUCCACCACCAAAGUGUAAAUAAAGCCAGCCCCCACCACCAUCAAUAAUUUUGUUGUCUUCUCCUUGACGAACUGGACAUGAGUGCACCAAGAAUUAAUGACAGAAUUUUAAAAAUAAUAAUAAGAGAAAAACCUACACAUUUUGGACUUAGAGUAGAACCAUAAUUAAUGCUAAAAUCUACUCAGCUAACAUUUUCAAAAUAUUGUUCUUUAUGAUUUUCAAAACCGUGAUUAAGGUUCAUCUCAAAUGUUUGAAGAGAGUCUAUCAGUUCUUCUACGUUAAGAAUAUUAAAAUUCUUACUUUUUCUUCAAACAUUGAAUAAUGAAAAAAAAAAUUGAAUAUGGAGGAAAAUAGAAUGCAUCCAUCUUCGCUGUAGAAGUCUUCUACUUAUAAAAGCAAGUUAGAAUAAACGAUUUUAAUCUCUCUUUUUAUUCCUGUAAGUGUACUAUAUUUUUUUUUUAUCUCAAUGCGAAAUCGUAUCAUAAUGUUAUAUUUCUGUUGUAAAACGAAAUUUUAAAUAAAACAAAUUCGACUUAUUUUUUAAAGGUAUAUAUUUAGUAGGUUACUAACAUAACUAACAAAACGUGAUUAUUACACUAUUUGUUUUUGUUUUAACUUUAUUAAUCAAUAAGCAAACAUGUAAUGAUUUGUAUAUAUCACUAGCAUCACAUUAUUAGGAGGUAUUGCGCUUAGUAUUCACAAUUUUUGUAAGAUGAAUUUGUAAGACUAAUUAAUUUUGAUGAAAAUGUAUUUGUAUUAAGAUAUUAUUUAAUUCAUUAAGUUAACUUGAGGUAUUAAUAUUCACUAAUUGUGGUGCUGAUUAAUUUACUUAACUUGUCACUAUUUACAAUUAAGAAUGAGGUUCAAUCAAUUUAUUGGGAAAAAAAACAAAGAUUUGAUUUUAAUUCUUAGGAUUUGAUUUCGCUCUCUUUCGCUUUUUUACGUUGCUAAAGAGGCAGUAAAAAGCUUGCUGAAUGUCAUCAAAUGCUUGUAUCUCAUCUCACAAAUUGGUAAUAUUUGUUUGGUAUUUCAUCUCAACGGAUGCAGUAAGGAUUGCCUCUCCGAUGACUGACAUUUUUUUUUCUUUUUUCCGGCAAAGACUGGAACAGAAUUUUGAGUUUCGAAAAGCAAAAUGAGAAAAUUGAGCAAUUCACCAAUCGGUCAAGCAAAAUGCGCGUAACAAGUCUUCCGCUUGUUGUUUAUUCCACUCAAGUGAAAAUAAAAACAGAGCCCACCACCCAUUAAUAAUUGAGCAAUUCACCAAUCACCAGUCACCACCACCCGUUACCAUGAAUAUAAUAAAUUGCACCUUGAUAUUUGCAGGGUCCGGCAACAUUGACCCAGUGUCCGGGUAAAUGCUGAAUAAAGAGGAAAAUGAAGUGUAUCCACUACGAACCCUCGCUUUACAAGUCUUCAAACUCAUAAACCAAGUUAAAUCAAAACGUUUAUCUCUCUCUCGCUCUUUUUGCCAUAUAAUAACUUUAUUUAUUAAAUUAAUUUCCAUGCUAAAAGGAAGACUUAAAAGUGCACUACAAUUUUUUAUAAUCACAAUAGUAAUUUCUACUAUCAUGUUAUUUUAAUGUCGUGUUAAAAUAAAUUAUUACAAAAUUUUUUUUAUGAACACUCUUUUCAUUUAUAAUUUUUAAUUUUUUUCUUACUCUUUUAGUCUUAGAGCCAGUUUAGUAAUGCUGCAACUUUUAAAAUAAUUAAAUAAAGCUUAUAACAGUAGAGCUUAUAGCAGAAGAACUUAUACCAAUGAAGCUUUUGAACAAAAAGUCAUUGGGUAUUUGAUUAUCAAUAAAAAAAAAUAUUUUUAAAUUAUUAAACUAUAUGAUAUUUUUUAUAUUAAAUAUUUUUUAGAUAAGCUCUCUAACCUCUAUUCCCAAAAGCUUAAAUUUUGGGCUUUUGCUAGUAAAGGUAAAUUAACUUAUUUAAAUUAAAAAAACUUUAAUAAAAAAAUAACUAAACACUAUAAAAAUUUUUAAAAAGUGCUUAUACGAUUAAAUAAAUACUUAUAUCUCUUAAAUAAGGCAUACCAAACAGUCACUUAAUAUUUAUAUUUCUCUUCAAAAUUUUUUUAUUAUUUAAUUUUUAAAUAAAAAUAUAAAAAAAAGUAAGAAAAAUAUUAUACUUACAAAAUAAUAAAUAUUUUAUGAAUUAAUACAAACUGUAUUAUUUUUUACGAUGAAAGAACACGCGAAAAAUCUUACUCAUUAAAAAUUUUGUGAAAGGCAUUUGAAUGUGUGGCCACAUUUUCCGAACGAAACGAUAAGGCUUUAGUCUUAUAAUUGCAAUUAGUUUGUCUUGUAACUAAAUUAUUGCCGACAAACACCAUCAUGCCGACAAACCGUGCAUGCACGUCCUCAAAGACUUUGACAUUGGGGACAAAGUGGUUGUAAGGGGUGGGGAUUAGUCAUAAGGUGCUUUGAAAUAAAUAGGUACUUGACAUUUGGCUCACUGAUUAUGUGUGCAAUAUUCCCGUAUUUCCCAUUACUUCCCGUACUUUAUGCUUUAUUGUUUUGUAUGUCUUUUGGUGUUUACGGUGCAGUUAGGGAUGGCAGCGGGUAGGGUCUGGUACGGAUUUGACAUCACCAGACCCGCAUCUAAAAACAAAUUUAAUUACUAAAUUCGCUAUGGGUUAUAUUUAAUUUUAUUUUUUUAACAAAGCCCAUUCACCGUGGGUUUGAUUGGUGCCCGGUAGAUAUUUUGUGAGUUCCCACGUAUAAAAUCACACUUGCAACAAAAUAUAAAAAUUUAAAUUACGUAAUUUAAAUUAUAAAUUUAUAAUUGUUGCUAAAAAACCACAUAAAAUAUUUAGUUCUACAUUUUAUUAACGUAAAUGAGAAAUGAAAAUAUCAACAUUAAAACAAAUAUACAAAAUAUAUCAAUUUAACACGAAUUUUUAAAUUUAAUUACCAAAUAAAUAAGCCUAUCACAACUCGAUGUGCUUUCAAUUGAAAAAGAAAAAAGAGAAAGAGAAAAAAAUAAAGAACUACAAAUCAAAGUAGCACCCAUGACCUAUUUCAUAGGCUCAUUUGACACUAAGAUCUUAGAAUUAAGAUCUUCAAUUCACUCAUUACCACUAGCACCCAUUCAAUGUAGUUUUUCUAAACAAAAUAUAAAGUACAAAAUUACAAUAAGCAUAUGAUACUCCAUACUUUAUGUUAAAGAUCCUUAUAUAAUUUUAUGACUAUUUUUUAGCGAAAUUUUAUGAUUAAAGUUAAAAAUACAAAUAUUAAAAUAAGAAUUUUGGACACUUGCGCAACUAUUUGCCAAAUUUUUUUUCUAUGAAAAUCCACCUGCAACUUGCAGCAAGUUUAAGUUUAUAAUAUCAAACUUGAUUGUAGCUCGCAAAAUUUUUGGAUUUGAGAUAAUUUUACCACCCUAAGUGUAGUUAGUAUUAUAUGUCGUGUGCUUCCAAUUGGCUCUUAUAAAAAGCCUAGGAGUUGUUUGAAUAAUGAUGGAGACAAAUAUUUCCCAAAAAUAUUCUCUUUUAACAUUGUGGCUUUUGGCUUGUCCAGAGAAAUUUAGGAUAGAUUUUGAUGUAUUAAGGCUCGUUUUACUAUUGAGAUUUUGGAACUUUUGAGCCACACUUGAAAUUUGUAUUAUUCUAAUAUGUGAUUGGUAUUAAUCAGGUGUUAUGUUUACAGCAGUUAAAGGCAUAUUGAAUCAAAGUCCACUUUUGAUUGAGAUUUUAAAGUAGGUUUUUAAUUUGAUAGCCACUCAAGUUCAAAUAUUGGAACCACAGUGCUUUAUAACCAAGUGGGAGAACUUCUAUCCUGAAAGUUGAGAGCUGCAGAUCGAGUUUUACUACCAACAAAAGUUGGUGUUAAGACUUUAGUUGCCCUCCUACUUAUGGAUAAGGGUAAUUAGGACUUUACAUCCCCUCCUACUAAUAGAUAGGGGUUACUAGGAAUAUUAAAAAAAGGUUCAAAUAUUGAAAAAAAUAGGUAUGGGUUAUAAAAUUCAUAAUACAAGAACAGUAAAUCAAGAUAAAAAUUUAAAAAUUUAGAACCAUGAAAGCGUAACUUGUAAGUUUCAAAGAAGCAUGUGCAAACAUAUGUGUAUCGAUACCCAUUAAGGGUGGGCAUUAAGAUCGGGUUAACUCGAACUGAACCUUAAAUUUAUUUUGGGUUCAAUUUGAUUUUGGUUGAACCUUUCAACUGAGUUAAAAACUUAUAAACGAUUGGGUUGUAUUUCUAUUCGAAUUUAACAACAAACUAAGCAACCUAAUCAACUUAAGUAAGCAAAUUUUAAAAAAAAAAUCCCAAAAAAUUAAAUCUAACCCUAAUUAAAAAAAAUUCAACCCCGGCCUCCUUCUCGUCUUCUUUUCUUCUUCUUCCUCUUGCUCACCCCUAAUGCCCCAUUAAUGGAAUUCCAACAGCUAGAAACGCGUUUCAGCCGCUUGCGCGUGUGUGAAAUUUUCCUUCCCAUAGGAUUGUUCGUUUCCUUGGCUUGCAUUAACAAAUUUGAAGAACAAUUAAAAAUUAAAAGAAAAUAAAAAGUGCUUUCUUUUUUAACGAUGAUAAUUUGUUCGGAUGAUGAAAAUUCUUAGAGUGGUAUAAUAAGUAUUUUCGAGUGUUGCCAUCGCGAAUAAUAUUUAAUUUCAUUUAUAUAGUUAUAUCUCAAGUAACAUUUAAACAGAAGCAAGUUGGAAAUUAAAAAAAAAAAAGAACCAUUGAGAGUAUGAAAAACUAACCAAAAAAAAAAAGUUAAAAAUUUGUAUCUCAAUAAAUUUACUUGAGAGCUACUCUACUAAUCCGUGAAGAGAAAACACAAAGAAUAAUGAUGUAUCUCAAUUAAUAGGACAAUUUUUGUAUUUUUCGUUUAUUCAAGAAUCAUGAAACUUCAUUUAAACUUGUUAUUUCAUUAAUAAUAUAUUAAUAUUGAACAAUUUAGGAGACAUUCCUUUCCAAUUAUGCCCAUGUAUUAAUUAAAAACCACAAAAAUGUUCAGGGAUACUAUAGUAAUUUAAGUCAACAAUUUCUGUGCUUCAAAUCAUCCUAUUAGACUCACUUCAGAAUAAACUGAGAUAUCAAAAUCACAUUCUCCAAUUCUACAAUUUCAAUUCAUCUUCAUAACUUCAACUGAAGAAUUGAUUGUAUCUCGUUUUAAUUUUUUUUUAUGUAAAGAUAAAUAUAAAAUAUAAAUGGCGAGGAGACUGGAAAAGUAAAAUCAAAAGAAGAGCACGAGUUUUAUUGAAAAUUACUCUUUUUCAUCAUUUUGCCGGAGUGAAUGUAUCUACAUUUAAACGAAAGAAGCACAUUUGUUUGUAUUAGCUUUUUUAUUGUAUUUUUAAUAAUAAGUCAUUUUUCAAUUAACUUAUAUCAUUUUUUACGAAAAUAAUAGGUGUUAGUUAGUUGAUUCAAAUGGCAAGACCUCUUGGGAUAGAGUUUGUAAUUUAGUGGCUUAUCAAUUGUUUAAAUAGGCAUUAUUAGAGCCAAAUUAUUGUAUUUGGUUAAAAAAGCUCCUACUUAGCUUACAACUUUAUUAUCCAAUUAUGUUUAUUAAUAAAUAACAAUUUUAUUGAAAAAAAAACAAGAUAUGUUGAAAUGAUACAAAAAAUUUGGGAUGUAAAUCUUACUCGAAUUUAGCUUGAGGUUGGCAUUGUUAGCAUAAUAUUUGAAGAUAGAUUUUUUAAAUUAAAAAAAAAAUUGGGUUCACACUAGUUAGUUUUAACUCAUAGUGAGAUUUAAACAAAAACGGAAUAAUAAAUCUUGAUAUCCUAACUCAUGAAUAACAUCUACAUAAAAUAGGAAAAUCUAUUGUGUCGAAAAUAAGGGGUUUGGAGUUUGAAUUUCGCUCACAUAGGUAGCAAGAGAAUCAAAUUAUUGUUAGAUUAAAUUAAUUAAAAAAUUAUCUGAUAUCCAAAACACAGCAUAUCAAAAAAAAUUGAAAUAAAGGAAAAUUGAAAAGCAAAACGAUUGAGAGAACGAAGAACUAACACAAGAAAAUGCCGAUAAUUAAUUGCCUCAGCGGCCACCAACUUAAUUAUGCUUAUUAAAGCCUGGGUUAUUUCAUUUUCAUUGAUAAUCAUUUUGACACCGGUCAAAUUUAAAAGUUUAAAUAAUGGGGGCCAUUUUUCUUUCCAGCUAUGCCCAUUAGCUAAUAAAAGAACCGCCGAAAGGGUUCGGGGAUAAUAUAGUAAUAUGAUUGAUAAUCAUUUUGGAGCUGAGUAUUCUUCGUUCCACAUUUUGGGUUUUGGUUGACCAUAUUUUAAUACUUUUCUGGAAAAUAAGUUUAUAUUUAUUGACUUGUAAUGGGUGCAACUCAUGUUUUUGAAACAUUAAGAUCUGGAAAAUGCUUCUCAGCGAGAAUGCUGAGAGAAUGCCGAGAGAAACGGCAUACAGUAAUGCCGUUUCUCUCGGCCCCACCCCCCACCACGUGAACUUUUGCCCCUUUUGUUUUUUCUUGCUACUUUUGCUUUUUCCACAUUCUCUCGGCGUUCUCUCGGCAUUCUUGACGUCUAGCACUCCUCGAAAGCAACAUCAUAUUUUAAUUACUUACACUAAUGCGGCAACUGCUGCUUACUUACACUAGUUAGUUUUUUUUUGCAACAUCAUAUUUUAAAAAUAUUAUUAUUAUUAUCGUCGUUAUUCUUAACAGCAAUGACUAGAAUUAUAAUAAGAACAAUAACGUUAAUACAAUAAUAUAACAACAUAAUAAUAUUUUAAUUGAGAGGAUAAGAAUGAAAUUAUGAAAUUUAGGUUGGAUAAAAAUGGUGAGUAUGAAGAAAUUAAAUUAUCAUUUUUUAAGCUAAACAAUUCAUAAAUUCCACAUAUUUCAUUCUUAUUUCUCUUAUAUUUUAACAAGUAAACAUUAUCAAUCGUUUUAAUAUUUUAAUUAAUAAACACGGCAUUAACUCGGGACUAAAAGAUCCCAAAAAAAAAAAAAAACACAGAGACGCGUGUAUGUAUUGCUUGUGACAAAUCUCACCCAUGGAAAACUUUGUGAAAGUCAUUUGAAUGUGUGGCCACAUUUAAUGAACGAAACGAUAACUAUAACAGAAAGUAUGUACUGUGUUCAUUAUUAGGCUUUAGCUUAAUGAUUGCAAUUAGUUUGUCUUUUAAUUAAAUUAUUGCCGACAAACACUAUCACGACCCACGUCCGCUACUUGUGUGAAUGUGUGUAUAAAUAUCCGCAGCAUAUUAUCAAACCUGAUGCGUGAUCAUCUUUAACUUUUGGUUAGGGUUCAUCAGACGUUGGAAGAUAUCUUUCCUAAUUUGAAGAAGAUGGAAACUCCUUAUCCAGGUUCUUAGGCCAUGUUCAGUUGAAUGUCAUUUAUAAUUUUUAUUUUAACAUUAUGUAUUUAUGAAUACAAUUAUUGUUAUGAUUUUUUCAGGUAAGAAUGGAUGGUCUGAGGGUAACCCAAUAACUAUGUACAGUAUUAUUAAUGAUGAGAGCGUGAAUGACAAUUUGGAUUUUAUUCUCGUCCCUCAAUACGGAAGAAAUCUUGACCAUAGAGGUUAAGUGCUAUGUAACUCUUUCGUAUUAUGUUUAAUUAAUAAUAAAAUGAUGGGUUAUUAUUACUUGUCAAUUAUGUGAGUGUCUUUGUUUGGUUUAGUUCAACUUAUAAAAUCUCUUGAGAUAUACAAGAGAUUUUCUUUAUUUAAUUUUGUGUACCGUGUCUUCUUGUAAAAAGAAAUUAAUAAAAAAAAUAUCAUCGUGUGCAAUGUAUUAACUAAGUUAGUGUAUUCAUGUUAGGUUAAUUGUGCUCUCUCUUCUUGAUAUUUAAAAAAAAAAAACUCCACAUAUUGUUGGUUAGCUAAUUCUUGCAGCUAGCAAGUGAUCCUUUUCUUUCCCCUACUGCCGUAGCAUCAAAUCCUUACAAUUACAUAUCAAGCGGUAUUCGAGCCGUCAAAUGAUCCAUAGAAACACGCAACAAAUCAAAUGCUGAAUUUUGCGAAGAGAUUCACGAAAUCCUUGCUAUACAUGAGUCUAGUUUUGACCAAGUUCACGUCACCCAUCAGCUACGGGUUUGAAUGGUACCUAGUGGAUAUUUUGUGAGUUCCCACUAAUAAAAUCACACUUGCAACAAAACUUAAAAAUUUAAAUUACGUAAUUCAAAUUAUAAAUUUAUAAUCGUAGCCUAAAAAAUACAUAAAAUACUUAAUUAUAGAUUUUAUCAAUGUAAAUGAGAAAUGAAAGUUUUAACAUUAAAAUAAAUACACAAAAUAUAUCAAUUUAACACAAAUUCUCAAAUUUAAUUACCAAAUACAUAAGUCUAUCGCAACUCAAAGUGCAUUCAAUUGAAAACGAAAAAAGAGAAAGAGAAAAAAAACAAAGAACUACAAAUCAAAGUAGCAGCCAUGACCCAUUUUGCAGUCUCAUUCAAUACCACUAUGUUACGGACCGCCCAAUUCGCUAGCCCAAUUGCCCACAAUUUCGGGCUAGAGAGCCAACACAAGGCCAAGAGUGCUAGCUUGGCCCAAUUCCGGAAGGUUCUAGGCAACUCUAGCACAUGUGAACAUGUAAAUAUUCUAGAAUACCUAAUACAAUUCCAGCACAUGUAAAUAGCUAGGAAAUUGUAUAAUAUUCUAGAGUUUGACCAAGUUUGUCAAAGUUAGGCAAAGUUAGGCAAAAGUUAGGUAAAGCCUCCCCUAUAAAUAUGGGAUGGCAUUUGGCAUUUGUAUCCAACAAGCAUUGUAAUCUCUCUUUGUGCAAUACAAGUUUCUUUGGCUCAAUUGCUCUCUCUUCUCUUGUUCGAGAAUCUCUAGGCUUACUUAGCAACAUUCGGCAAAGUUGUCUAAGUGCCGCACGGGUUAGCUGCGCAAAACACUCAUCCCGUGACAAGUGGUAUCAGAGCUAAGGUUUGCACGCACGCAAAUUAGCUCACGAAGCAAUGGCCAACCCUUCGAACGUAGCACAAGAGGGUGUUGUUGGUGUGGAUGUUCCACCGGAACCAAGCCGCGGCCGAGAGGGAGAACGCGCCCAAGGCAAGACUCGCGGCAAGUCCAAGGCCCUAUCCGUGGAUGCGUUGGAGCCUCGUGUAGGCACUCUCGAAAUAGCAUUGUCCGCCACUCAAGAUAGCCUCGUGGGAUUGGAGGAAAGAGUGGAUGGUCUCGAGGGAGAAUACGCCGAGUUCACGGUGGCCACAAAAGCUCUCAUCCAUGAGCAAGCAAACAUUCUCCGAGGUGAGUUUCGUUCUUUCCAUGAUGAGUUGCUCAAACUUCGUAGUUUUGUUCAGGACGAACUACGUGCUGUCCGUGCGGAAGUGGAUGAAGUCCGCUCGGAUUGGGCAUGGCACAAGCGCACACUCUCCACAAGUCCAGCUUCCGCAAACUCGAGUAAUGCGCGCCGCAUUGACGUGCCAAAGCCCGACACCUACGAUGGCACACGCAAUGCCACCAUCGUGGACAAUUUCCUCUUUGGGCUGGAUCAAUACUUCGAUGCCAUGGGCGUCCGAGAUGAGGCAUCGAAAGUGGGCACUGCACCCACCUAUCUUAGAGGCGCUGCACAACUAUGGUGGCGUCGCAAGUAUGGAGAGAUGGGCAAGGGCAUUUGCACCAUCGACACUUGGGCCGACUUCAAGCAAGAACUCCGAAAGCAGUUCGCCCCAAGCAAUGCGGAGAAAGAAGCGCGAGUGCGCUUACGUCGCCUCAAGCAAUCGGGUAGCAUUCGGGACUACAUCAACGAAUUCACUACCCUCAUGUUGGAGAUAAGCGACAUGUCCGACAAGGAUUCACUCUUCUACUUCCAAGAUGGCCUCAAGGAUUGGGCCAAGACCGAGCUUGAUAGGCGUGGUGUUCAAACACUUGACGACGCCAUUGCCGUUGCGGAGUCGCUCACUGAAUACUCUACCCAAUCCAAGGACAAAAAGGCCAACCAAGGCAAAGGUGGGGGAGAGAGUCGCAAGGACAAGGGCAACAACCGCAAAGAUUGGGGGCAGAAAAAGCCACCUAGCAACAAGAGUUGGCAAGGAAAAUCGGAGGGCAAGAAGGAGGCGCCAAAGCCGCGAAACCCAUGCUUCAUAUGCAAUGGUCCUCAUUGGGUACGCGACUGUCCGGAGAAGAGGUCGCUUAACGCUCUUGCUGCCCAACUCAAGAGCAACCCCACAAUGUCCACGGAGGAACCCCAACUCAGCAUGGGUUCUCUCCAACGCCUCGGCGCACUCAACCGCCAACAGCCCGCACUAGUCAAGAAAGGGCUCAUGUAUGUUAGUGCAAAGGUAAACGGCCAGUCCGUUCGCGCACUGCUAGACACGGGAGCAACACACAACUUCGUGUCCGUAGAUGAGGCCAAGCGUUUAGGCCUCAAGGCCACCAAGGAAGGAGGCACAAUGAAGGCAGUAAACUCACCCGCCAAGCCAAUUGCGGGAAUUGCACAAGGCGUGCACAUCACACUUGGUACGUGGAGCGGAAAGCUUGACUUCUCUAUUGUGCCCAUGGAUGACUUCAAGAUGGUCCUCGGCAUGGAAUUCUUCGACCAAGUCCAUGCCUUCCCACUGCCCGCUACCAACUCCCUAAGUAUCCUCGACGGGAGUAAGGCAUGCAUGGUUCCCACGGAACGAGGCAAGUCCGAAGAGAAGACACUCUCCGCCAUGCAAUUCAAGAAGGCUUUCAAGAAGGACCCAAGCUUCUUAGUCUCCAUUCGGGAACUAAAUGAGGAAGGAAAUAGCGGAACUUCGCCAAGCCAAGUCCCUCCGCAAAUUCAAGCCGUCCUCAAUAAGUACAAGGACGUGAUGCCUCCAGAACUUCCGAAGAAGCUCCCACCUCUGCGAGAGGUGGAUCAUGCGAUCGAACUGGAACAAGGCGCGAAGCCACCAGCCUUGGCACCCUACCGCAUGGCGCCACCAGAAUUAGAGGAGUUGCGGAGACAACUCAAAGACUUGCUGGACGCAGGCUAUAUUCGCCCCUCAAAGGCCCCAUUCGGUGCACCGGUCCUCUUCCAAAAGAAAAAGGAUGGAUCGCUGCGGAUGUGCAUCGACUAUAGAGCGCUCAACAAGAUCACCAUCAAGAACAAGUAUCCGAUUCCCUUGAUUGCGGACUUGUUCGACCAGCUUGGUAAAGCACGGUACUUCACCAAACUUGACUUGCGCUCCGGGUACUACCAAGUGCGCAUCGCCAAGGGAGAUGAACAAAAGACAGCGUGCACAACAAGGUACGGGUCUUUCGAAUUCCUUGUGAUGCCUUUUGGCCUUACUAAUGCACCCGCCACAUUUUGCACACUCAUGAACAAGGUGCUCCAACCAUUCCUCGACCGCUUCGUGGUCGUGUACUUGGACGACAUAGUGGUGUAUAGCACCACGCUCGAGGAGCAUGCCCAACACUUGCAACAAGUCCUCCAAGUACUUCGAGACAAUGAGCUCUUCCUCAAACUAGAGAAGUGCUCAUUUGCCCAACAAGAGGUGGAGUUCCUUGGCCACAAGAUUGCGGGCGGGAAGAUCAUGAUGGAGAAUGACAAAGUAAAGGCCAUCCUCGAUUGGGAGCCUCCCUCGAAAGUACCCGAACUUCGCUCAUUCCUUGGACUGGUGAAUUACUACCGCCGCUUCAUCAAGGGCUAUUCAGCUAAGGCGGCACCCUUGACGGAUAUGCUCAAGAAAAACAGAACAUGGCAUUGGUCCGAAGAGUGCCAACGUGCCUUCGAGAAGUUGAAGAAGGCAAUUUCGGAGGAACCAGUCCUCGCUCUUCCGGACCACACCAAGCCCUUUGAAGUUCAAACGGAUGCCUCGGAUUUCGCCAUAGGUGGAGUCCUUAUGCAAGAAGGCCAUCCAAUAGCGUUCGAGAGUCGAAAGCUAAAUGACACGGAACGCCGCUACACGGUGCAAGAGAAGGAGAUGACCGCAAUCAUACAUUGCUUGCGGGUGUGGCGACAUUACUUGCUUGGCUCACACUUCACGAUCAUGACGGACAACGUGGCGACAAGCUACUUUCAAACUCAAAAGAAGUUGAGUCCGAAGCAAGCCCGGUGGCAAGAUUUCCUAGCGGAAUUCGACUAUCGGCUGGAGUACAAACCGGGGAAAGCCAAUGUCGUUGCGGACGCUCUAAGCCGCAAGGCCGAAUUGGCGACACUUAGCAUGAGCCAACCGAAGUCUGACCUUGUCUUACGCAUCAAGGAAGGCCUCCAACAAGAUCCGCUAGCAAAGGAUUUGCUGGAGAAGGUGCUCGAGGGAAAGACAAGACGGUUUUGGCAAGAGGAAGGCAUCCUCCUCACCAAGGGAGAUCGGCUGUUCGUGCCAAGGUGGGGAAAUUUACGGAAGGAAGUAAUCAAGGAGUGCCACGACUCUAAGUGGGCUGGUCACCCAGGAAUUGAGCGCACCACCGCACUAGUCCAAGCCUCGUAUUUCUGGCCGCACAUGAGGGACGACAUCGAGGCAUAUGUGCGAACUUGUCUUGUGUGCCAACAAGACAAGGUGGAUCAUCAACUUCCAGCGGGAUUGUUAGAGCCGCUACCACUAGCAACAAGGCCAUGGGAGAGUGUCUCCAUGGACUUCAUCACAUCGCUGCCCAAGUCCGAAGGUUGUGGUAGCAUCAUGGUCGUUGUCGACCGAUACAGCAAGUAUGCUACAUUCAUUGCCGCACCCGUCGAUUGCAAAGCGGAUGAGGCAGCCCGCCUAUUCGUCAAGCACAUUGUGAAGCUUUGGGGAGUUCCGAAGAGCAUUGUGAGCGACCGAGACCCUCGGUUCACUGGGCGUUUUUGGACGGAGCUCUUCAAGAUGUUGGGGACCGAUCUCAAGUUCUCGACAAGCUUCCACCCACAAACGGAUGGGCAGACCGAGCGCAUCAAUGGCAUUCUCGAGAUGUACUUGAGGCAUUAUGUGAGCGCUCACCAGCGGGAUUGGGCAAAGCUACUUGACAUUGCCCAAUUUUCUUAUAACUUGCAGCGAAGCGAGGCUACGGGCAAGAGUCCAUUCGAGAUCAUCAUGGGAUUCCAGCCCAUGACCCCCAAUGCCAUAGCCUCGACUUACGGAGGGAAAAGCCCCGCGGCACACAAGCUCGCCCGCGAAUGGCAUGAGGAAGCGGACAUCACGCGAGCCUACCUCGACAAAGCCGCGAGGAAAAUGAAGAAAUGGGCGGAUACAAGGAGACGGCAUGUUGAGUACAAGGAAGGUGAUCAAGUCAUGAUCAAGCUCCUACCCCAACAAUUCAAGACUUUGCGGAAAGUUCACAAGGGGUUAGUGAGGCGCUACGAGGGACCCUUCCGAGUUGUUCGACGUGUAGGCAAGGUCUCGUAUCAACUCCAACUUCCGCCAAGACUCAAGAUCCAUCCGGUCUUCCAUGUGAGCCUUCUCAAGCCAUAUCACGAAGACAUGGGAGAACCAAGUCGCGGAGAAUCGAGGCGCGCGCCAACUGCCGUUGUCACCGCAUUCGACAAAGAUGUGGACUACAUCAUUGCGGACCGAACGGUUUCGAGGAGGGGCGUGCCAGCACAUAGCGAGUACUUGGUGAAGUGGAAAAACCUCCCCGAGAGCGAAGCCACUUGGGAACGGGAAGAUGAUUUGUGGCAAUUCGCUGAGCACAUCCAGCACUUCAUGCACGAAAGCGCGACGAGGACGCCGCGAGCUUAAGUGGGGGAGGAUGUUACGGACCGCCCAAUUCGCUAGCCCAAUUGCCCACAAUUUCGGGCUAGAGAGCCAACACAAGGCCAAGAGUGCUAGCUUGGCCCAAUUCCGGAAGGUUCUAGGCAACUCUAGCACAUGUGAACAUGUAAAUAUUCUAGAAUACCUAAUACAAUUCCAGCACAUGUAAAUAGCUAGGAAAUUGUAUAAUAUUCUAGAGUUUGACCAAGUUUGUCAAAGUUAGGCAAAGUUAGGCAAAAGUUAGGUAAAGCCUCCCCUAUAAAUAUGGGAUGGCAUUUGGCAUUUGUAUCCAACAAGCAUUGUAAUCUCUCUUUGUGCAAUACAAGUUUCUUUGGCUCAAUUGCUCUCUCUUCUCUUGUUCGAGAAUCUCUAGGCUUACUUAGCAACAUUCGGCAAAGUUGUCUAAGUGCCGCACGGGUUAGCUGCGCAAAACACUCAUCCCGUGACAACUAGCACCCAUCCAACACGAUUUUUCUAAACAAAGUAUAAAGUACAAAAUUACAAUAAGCAUAUCAUACUCCAUGCUUUAAGUUAAAGAUCCUUAUAUAUUUUUAUGAAUAAUUUUUUAAUGAAAUUUUAUGAUUAAAAUUAAAAAUACAAACAUUCAAAUAAGAAUGUCGGACACUUGCGCAACUAUUUACCAAAUUUUUUCUCUAUAAAAAUCGACCUGCAACUUUCAAUAGGUUUAAAUUUAUAAUAUCAAACCCGAUUGCAGCUCGCAAAAAUUAUCCGUUGCGGCCAAGACUUUGGAUUUGCGAUGAUUUUUCCACCCUAAGUGUAGUUAGUAUUGUUUAUCAUGUGGCUCUUAUAAAAAGCCUAGAAGUUGUUUGAAUAACGAGUGAGACACAUAUCUCCCAAAGAUUUUUUCUUUUUCAAAUUAUUAUGUUUUCUCUAUUAUUGUAACUUCGAAUCCUUAUAAAUUACAGAUUGGAGACAUGAACACAAUGUUUUGACAUAGUGGACUUUUGACUUGUCCAGAGAAAUUUAGGAUAGAUUUUUACGCACUAAGGCUCUAUUUACUAUUGAGGUUUUAGAACUUUUAAGCCACACUAGAAAUUUGUAUUGUUUUGAUAGAGUUGUAGUCUUUGAUAUGUGAUUGUUAUUAAUCAAGUGUUAUGUUUACAAUAGUUAAAGGCAUAUUGAAUCAAAAUCCACUUCUAAGGGCUUGAUUGAGUGAUUGUAAAGUAGGUUUUUAGUUUGCUAGCCACUCAAGUUCAAAUAUUGGAACCACAGAGCUUUAUAGCCAAGUGAGAGAACUUGUGCCCUAAAAAUUGAGGGGUGCAUAUCGAGUUUUACCACCAAUAAAAGUUGGUGUUAAAACUUUAAUUUCCCUUUUAUUGAUGGAUAUGGGUAAUUAGGAGUUUACAUCCCCUCCUAUUAAUAGACAGGGGUUAUUAGGAAUAUUAAAAAAAAGUUUAAAUAUUGAAAAUAUAGGUAUGGGUUAUAAAAUUCAUAAUAUAAAGACACAAAAUCAAGAUAAAGAUUUAAAAAUUUAGAACCAUGAGAGCGUGAUUUGUAAGUUUCAAAGAAGUAUGUGCAAAUAUAUGCAUUAUCGAUGCCCAAUUAAGGGUGGGCAUUAAGAUUGGGUUAACCCGAACAGAAUCGAACUUAAAAUUUAUUUGCUCACAAAUGGGUGGUUUGUGGGGGGGAUUCACUUGCUUUUGUUUGCAUUGCCUGAUUGGAUAAAAGUUUGUAGAACAUCGUCUGUUUGGUUAAAGCCGAGCAUGAGUGAAUAAAAAUUAAAAAUAAAUAAUUUUCCAUUAAUUUGCAACAAGUAUUAAUAAAGUGCAUGAGAAAAGACACCAGGAUAUGCUUUUUUUUUAAAAAAAUUAAAAUAAAUGUGUUAAUUAGUCAAUUUAAAUGGUAUGACAUUUUGAAAUGACAGAAGCGAUCUAAAGUUUAAAUCUCACUCACACUUAAUUUAGGGUUGGGGAUUAAUUGACGUAAUAUAUAAUAACGAAUUCAAAAGACAAUUAAAAAUUAAAAGAAAAUAAAAAAGUGCUUUCUUUUUUAUGAUGGUAAUUUGUUUAGAUGAUGAAAACUCUUAGAGUGGUAUUAUCAAUACAUAGUUUCUAGCGUUGCCAAUGUGAAUAAUAUUUAAUUUCCUUUAUAUAGUUAUAUCUCAACUAACAUUUAAACAGAAGUAAGUUGUAAAAAAAAUGAACCAUUGAGAUUUGAGAGAACAAAAAACUAAAAAAAAAAAAAGUUAAAAAAUUAGAUCUCAAUAAAUUUACUUGAGAACUACUUUACUGAUUAGUGAAGAGAAAACACAAAAAAUAAUGAUGUAUCUCAAUUAAUAAGACAAUUUUUGUAUUUUUCAUUUAUUCAAGAAUCACGAAACUUCAUUUAAACUUGUUAUUUCAUUGAUAAUAUAUUAAUAUUGAACAAUUAAUGUGGGAGACAUUCCUUUCCAAUUAUGCCCAUAUAUUAAUUAAAGAUCACCAAAAAGUUCAGGGAUACUAUAAUAAUUUAAGUCAACAAUUUCUGAGCUUGAAAUCAGCCGAUCAAACUCACUUUAGAAUAAACUGAGAAAUCAAAAUCACAUUCUCCGAUUCUACUAUUUCAAUUCAUCUUAUUUCUUCAACUGAAAAAUUGGUUGUAUUUUGUUUUAUUUUAUUUUUAUUUUUAUAUAAAGAUAAAUAUAAAAUAUAAAUGACGAGGAGACUGUAAAAGUAAAAUCAAAAGAAGAGCACAAGUUUUAUUGAAAAUGACUCUUUUCAUCAUUUUGCCGGAGUUAAUGUAUCUACAUAUAAACUAAAGAAGCACAUUUGUUUGUAUUAGCUUUUUUAUUGUAUUUUUAAUAAUAAGUCACUUGCCAAUGAACUUAUAUCGAUUUUUACGAAAAUAAUAGGUGUUAGUUAGAUUAUUCAAAUGGCAAAACCUCUUGGGACAGAGCUUGUAAUUUAGUGGCUCAUGAAUUGUCUAAAUUGACACUACCGAAUUAUUGUAUUUGGUUAAAAAAGCUCCUACUCUGCUUCAACUUUAUUAUCCUAUGAUGUUUAUUAAUAAAUAACAAUUUUAUUGAAAAAAAGACCUCUUGAAAUGAUACAAAAGAUUUGGGACAUGAAUCUCACUCGAAUUUAGCUUGAGGUUGGCAUUGUUAGCAUAAUAUUGAAGAUAGAUUUUUUUUUAAUUAAAAAUCAAAAGAUUUUUUUUUUUGGGUUCAUACUAGUUAGUUUUAACUUAUAGUGAGAUUUAAACAAAAAAGGAAUAGUAAAUCUUGAUAUCCUGACUCAUGGAUAAUGUAUAAAUAAGAUAGUAAAAUUUAUUGUGUCAAAAAUAAGAGGUCUGAAGUUUGAAUUUCGCUCACAUAGGUAGUAAGAGAAUCAAAUUAUUGAUAGAUUAAAUUAAUUUAAAAAAUUUCUGAUAUCCAAAACAGCAUACCAACAAAAUUGAAAUAAAAGAAAAUUGAAGAGAAAAACCAUUGAGAGAACGAAAAAUUAACACAAGAAAAUUUCUAUAACUAAUUGUAUCAGUGUGCGCCAACUUCACUUAUUAAAACAUGGUUAUUUCAUUUUCAUGGAUAAUCAUUUUGACACCGGUCAAAUUUAAAAGUUUCAAAAAAUAUGGGCGAUUUUUCUUUCCAGCUAUGCCCAUUAACUAAUAAAAGAACCGCCGAAAGGGUUCGGGGAUAGUAUAGUAAUUUAAACUAACAGUUUCUGUGCUUCAUAUCGUCAGAUCAAACUCACACCUCACAAACGCAGAGAAAUCAAACGGUUUCCGACUCUACGCUUUAAAUUCAGCUUCAUUUCUUCAACUGAAGAAUCGGUCGUCUCUCAUUUUUUAUUUAUUAUAUAAAGAUAAAUAUCUAAAUUUAAAUGGCGAGAAGAGCGGACGAGGAAUACGAUUACUUGUUCAAAGUGGUAUUAAUCGGCGAUUCGGGAGUCGGCAAUUCGAACUUACUCUCCCGAUUUACUCGUAACGAGUUCUGUUUGGAGUCCAAAUCCACUAUUGGCGUCGAAUUCGCCACCCGCACUCUUCAAGUAACUAACUUUUCCUCUUUCCCUUCACUUCUUUUUUAUUAAUUAAUUAAUUAAUUAAGAUCCAGUUAAUGUAAUUAAUUUUAUUUAAUCUUUUAAAUAAAGUUCUAGAUUAGGCUAACUUAGAUUCAUGUGAAGUUGAAGUGAUUUACUUUCGAUCUCUUUUUCGUCCUAUGUUUAUUUGUACUUACUAUUACUUUUUUUUGGGUUUAAAUUUUCGUUUUUGAAGUGUUUACUGAAUAAAUUUCUGAGCUUUAUUUGUGUAUGCUGAUUGAUUUGUGAUUUUAAUUUUGUGACUUUUUUUUUGGAAUUUAAAUUUGAAUGCUUUUUAAGUUGAAUCUGAUUGUGUUGGGCUGCGAUUUAAUUAAGUCAUCUGUGAGCGCCAAAUUGUGAUAGCUAUAUAUUGGGGUGAAAAUUUGGGAUUUAAAGUUAUGUAUUUAAGAUGCAGUUAAUUCGCAAGUGAAAAUUAUGGGCCGGCAGAUUUUGUCAUUGGAAGACUGUUCUCCACAUGUUGAAGUUAGUGAUGCAAGUUGAAACCAAUCUGUUUAAGCUUGGGGUUUCAUGUCUUGAAUCAAGGCUGUGACUUGGGGUGGGUUGAAAGUAUUAUAGCUUUAGCUAUUCCUGAAGUGAUCUGUUUAGACUCACCGUGAUGAGACCGAGUGCUGUACAGUAAAAUGAAAGGAAGUUGGAAAAUAUUUACUUAGCAUUUCGCGUUACUAAUGUUGAACUAAUAAAACCUAGCCCCUAUCCUAGUGAAUUUAUCUUAAAAUAAUAGCAAUAAUAAGUGGACAAAGCUAAGUUCCAGAGGUGAGAUAGGAAAUUCUCCCGCACAACACAGCACAAACAAACUUUCCCUUUCAUUUUCUUUUCUUUUCUUUUUCUUGCUCUCCAAACAGAGCAAAAGUAACGUCGCAAGAUUCUUCACUUCCAUCCAAAAUCAUGAGCAACGAAUAGCGAGCCUCCCUGUUUCCUUCCUUUUUUUGAUAUUAACAUUGUUAACAUCUACUCAUUUUCAUUUGACAAUACUUCAAUUUUUUUAAUUUUUGGCUUUUCAUUUUUUUUUGUUGCUAAACCGAUUAUCUGUUCAAGCUGUUGCUUAUCGGAGACUCGUCCAUCGGAAAGUCCUGCCUGCUGCUCCGAUUUGCUGUCUGUUGACUUUUCCUUUUCCUCUUUAUUUUCUUUUUUUUUUUAUAUAAAUUACUUUCUAUUUUAGCUUUUUGUUCUUUGAAUUUGUGUUAUUAAAAUGAUAAUUUAGAUGGUAAAUAAUUGUUAUUCUUGGAAAUUUCAGUUUUCAUUACGUUAAUUACUAGUUUUUAGGUUUAUUAAUGUAAUUUUUUUUUUAAUUUUUCAGGAUGAUUCUUAUGUCGACAGCUACAUCAGUACCAUUGGAGUAGAUUUUGUGAGUCUCUCUUCUAUAUAUAUGUAUAUAUGUGUAUAAGUUAUAGUAUGAGUCUAUGUACGUGUAUGUAUGUAUGUGUAUGCAUAUGUGGAAAGAAAUGUUGGCAGACUUCAGCAUUUUACUUUUUUUUUUUUAAUUUUGGCAGAAAAUAAGAACUGUGGAGCUGGAUGGGAAGACGAUCAAACUGCAGAUUGUGAGUCAAAAUUUCCUUUUAUCCUGUAUUGAGAGAAAUUCGACUUGUCUUAUUUAGUGAAGGUUAUGUUCAAGAACCUUGUGUUAUUUUCUUUGUUUGAAGAGUUAUAUGUCUUUUAAACAUCAUUUAGGUAAUGUCUGAUGUUUGAUUGUUUUUCAUCUGUUUAGUGGGACACUGCUGGACAGGAGCGAUUCAGGACUAUAACUAGCAGUUAUUACCGAGCCCAUGGAAUCAUAGUAAGGAGCCUUCCCUGUUCUUGGUUUAAAUCAGAAAGUUUGUGAUUUACAUGUGACAUCUUAACAACAUUGUAUGUGUUUAUUAACUUAUUUUUCAUCUUUCAUUAAGCAGUACAUUUUCCAAUAAAUCUGUAUACAAGAUGAUGUAGUCCAAGAAUGGGAGCGAUAAUAUGAUGCAUAUUGUCUAAUAAAUUCUUAUGACAUAUGAUGUUGUCGGAAGUAAAAGUCUUGCAAUGCUGUAUUCUCUUUUAAGAAAGAAUAAGUGAUACUUUUGUUUUUCCAAUUUUUUAAUUGAGCAACUGUGUGAGAUUAAUUAAAUGUGUUUGGAUUUCAACAGAUUGUCUAUGAUGUAACUGAGAUGGAGAGCUUCAAUAAUGUCAAGCAGUGGUUGAAUGAGAUUGACAGAUACGCAAAUGACAGUGUAUGCAAGCUUCUAGUUGGGAACAAAUGCGAUUUAGCUGAGAACAAGGUUGUGGACACAUAGACAGCCAAGGUAUAUUCGUGACUUCUGUCGCCUGAACUUUGAACAUAAUUUUAAGCUCUUCUCAAGUGCAUUUGCUUGGUAAGUUUCUGCAUACCCAGGACGCUCAAACUUUGGACAUUUUGUAUCUCGAGUUGGAAUCUUUUCUGUCAAUACAACUUGUUAAAAUAAGGGUUAUUAUCGUUUGAAUCCUUCAAGAAUUGCAAUAAAUCUAAAGUCCAUAAAAAAUAUGAUUCCAUCAUUUUACUAUUAUAUCCAGACAAAACCCAUUAUUUUACUACAUUUCAUUAGCACCGAUAGUUGACCUGUUGGCUGACUGAUAAAAUAUCAAUUUUGCACUUUAUAUUAAUUCUUUUUUGGUUAAAAAAUAACACACAAAGUAUUACAAUAUUAUAAAUUCAAAAUAUAAAGUAGCUACAAAUAAUUGCUAUUAGCCUAUGAAUUUAAUAUUUGAUACCUCUAUUUGUGUAAUUUUUUUCCAAGAGUGAAAUUGGUAUUUUUUUUGUACUAACGGAAAUGUAGUAAAAUGAUAAGUUUUGUAAAGAUAUAGUAGUAAAAUGAUAGGCUAAAAUACUUCUUGUAGUUGUUUGAUAUAUUGUAAUUCUUAAAGUAGUCAAUUGAUAAUAUCCCCUAAAAUAAAUGUUCGUAAUAUGUUCUCAUUUUAAUGCAACUGAUUGUUUAAUAAAAUUGUAUUUCUUUGUUAAUCUUUUUUCAUGUGCAUGCUCAGUGAGAAUUUGACUUACUAGAACACAAGUUUGACUCUUCAUUUAAAUGUCUCUUGUAUCAUAUCCUUCAAUGUUGAGUGUGAUUCCAAUAAAAUUGAGUAGGGGGAUCCUUAAAUACCUUUUCCUAUUUUCCAAGGGCCUGCCAAAUUGCUCUAAGUGGUUCUACCCUUUAUCAAUGAAUAAUGAAAAUAAAAUUUUUAUUAAAGCAUUUUGUUCCUUAAAUGGUGACUAAUAGUACCCCUUUUUUUGGAGAGGAAAGCCAAACAUGCCCAAAGAGAAUCAUUUACUUUCCUCUAAUGUAUUUUCUAAUUCGUUUUGAGCCUUGAAUGUCUGUUUUGGUGCGUAUUCUCAUUCCAUGUCGAAUCUUAUCCAUAUGGACAACCCCACUUACAAAAAAGUCUAAUGAAUCUAUUGAAGUUCAUAUGAGGUUUGUGCUUUAGAUUUAGACCUCUCUCUCUCUCUCUCUCUCUCUCUCUCCACUUACAUGUCUUUCACUUACCUGUUUGCAUGCAUGCCCAUUCACACACUUUCAAGAUAAUACACAGUCACUCGUACUUGUGUUUUGGUUGAAUUACUGGCUGCUAACCUCUGUAAUUCAGUUUGAAACUUGCCACCCUUAGUGCUUCACUCAAAUGGUUGGUUAGGGUGAGAUCUGUAUCGUUUUCCUGGUCUCUUUCCAAGGUUAUCUAAAGGGAUUUGCCAGUCUGAUUCUUUUGGGAAUAUCAUUGCAUAAGAUAUCUAUUGUUUGUUAAUGAAUAAUUUCUAUUUAACUAGUUAUCUAUAUAAAUUGGUCAAUUUUAACUGCAUAAUUUGCAUGCAAUAAGAUUUUAUAAGAAUCUUGUUUUCAACUCAUGACUUAGACUAAUGUGAUAUGUUGAGCAUUAAGCUACAAGAUCUGCACAUCAAAGUGCUUCACAAUGUUAAGGAGAAAGCAUCUUUUUCUGCUUCUUCAUCUGAUUUAAAGUUUCCAAGGUACUUAUCCAAUAAAAUAUCCUUCAAGACUUUGGAAAUGCUUUUAUGUAUGACUGAGAGAAACUUGUUGGGUUGGUUUUUAGCAACAGACGGAGUUAUGGACUUUGUGUUGACUUGUUAUUGAUUAAGACAGUACAUCGGCUGAUCUAUUGGCAUCAAGCAGCAGAUGCAGAAAUUAUGGGUGGCAUACCAUUGUAUCCAAAUAACAUACUACAUUGAUUUUUCUGACUUUCUGUUGGUCUCCGAGAAAUGCAGGCAUUUGCAGAUGAACUGGGGAUUCCUUUCCUGGAGACGAGUGCCAAAGAUGCAAUCAAUGUGGAGCAGGCUUUCUUGACCAUGGCUGGCGAGAUUAAGAAAAAGUAAAAUCACUUAACUCUUUCCUUCUUGCCGACUGUUCUUAUUUAACAAUCACCAUUAUUGCUGGUUAUAUGCAUUGUGAUGAAAAUUCUGCAAUGAGUAACUUUUUACCUAAUGUUUUCUGUUGGAACAAAUUACUCUGGUAGAAAAGCCCUACAGGGUUUGAGAAAUCCCAUGAUGUGAUGAUUGUGAGCAUUUUAGACACCGUGUAUGGGUUUAUUUUGUGACUAUAAAAUGUUAAGAUUGUUUCUAGUUUUGGUUUGUAGUGCAUAAAAGGAUUCAAAAUUUGACAUCUGUCUAAAUCAGAUUAAUAACAUGAUAAUGUACCUAUGCAAGAUGUGAGGAAUUGUUUUAUCUCACCCCUAAACUUUAAGAAAUUGAAACAUUAUUAUUCAAAAUAUUUAACAUUUCCAGAAUUGAUAGUUGUCUAUUUGAGCAGUGACUGGUGGUUAUCAUGAACUGAUGUGUGGUUGUGGUUUCAAAUCUUGGUGAAACCUGUUGUCAUAUGCUGAUUAACAUAGCUAGUCUCUGAAACAAUUUGUUGAUUCACUAAUUAUGAGUUCAAAUUUGAUGCAGAAUGGGCAACCAGCCUUCUGCAAACAAAUCUUCUGGAACAGUUCAGAUGAAGGGAUAGCCAAUCCAGCAAAACUGCAACCGCUGUGGUUAGCCGAGCAUCUUAUUUUACUUCUACAUGUUAGCUGACUGAUUGUAGACAGUUUUAACUAUGUUGACUGCAUUAUCUUAUGAAUCUUUUAAUCUGUCAAAUAUUUAUUUCCUGGUUUAAGUUCUUUCCCGUUUAUAACAAAUUUAAUUUCUUGCUCCAUUGCAUUCCAAAUUCCUGUCAAUUUACGAGGGAAAAGGAAAAGAGAGACAAAAUGGGAGAAAAUGGUCAAAUUUGUUAGGGGGAGAGAGCUGUUCAAGUAGUUUUUGUUCUCGUUUAUUGUCAUAUCGGAUGGGUAAAGUUACCGAAACAGCGUCAUUUUGGGUGAAUUAUCAUAUUUAUGUAACACUUUUGAUAAUAUUUUUAUGCAACAAAAAAAUGUUAGUACCCUUUUCACAUUGUGAAGCGCAUGAUCGGAUGAGAGCAGUCUGUAUUCUGGCAUCACAAGCUAAUGCUUUGAUUUGCUUAGUUUGUUUUUUUUUUUUUCAUGGAAUUUGGAGAUGUUGUACAUGUAUGAAGAUGACGUAAUAAAGUUGCUUUGAUAAAUUUCCCUGGUCGGUUUACUUCACUAACCAUUAAUGCGCAAAGCCUCCUAAUGACCCUAAAAAAUCCCGUACAUAAUUAAAGAAUUUCAAUUUUAUACGUACAAAAAUAAAUAACUCUCAAAUAUAUUAUUUGAUAAUUCCAAAAACAGCAAUUCAUUCUAAUAAAUCUCGUAGGAAAUACAUGGUCUAUAUUGCAAGUUUUUUUUAGACUAAUUCAAAGAGAAAAUAUGAAGGACAUAUAAUUGUCCUUUAAUUGUCAUAAAGAACUCUAAAUAAAUUCUUAUACGCAUUGCAACUAAUUACAGCCUUGAUACUUCAUUUGGUUUUUGUUAAUUUUCUAUACAGUUGUGUUGUGCAUAAAAGUUUUGUUAAAUGAAAUCGGUAGGUGAGGGUUAAUUAAUCAAUUAAUUAAGAUCCAGUUAAUGUAAUUAAUUUUAUUUGAUUUUUUUAAUUCGAGUUCUAAAUUAAUCAAUGAAUUUAGAUUCAUGUGAAAUUGAAGUGAAUUAGUUUCGAUCUGUUUUUCGUCCUAUGUUUGUCUGUGUUUACUCUUACUUUGUUUUUUUUGUUUAAAUUUUGUUUUCUUAUUGUUUACUGAAUAAAUUUCUGAGCUUUAUUUGAGUAUGAUGAUUGAUUUGUGAUUUUAAUCUAAAUGUGUUGGGCUGCGAUUUAAUUGAGUGAUGUGUGAGCGCCAAAUAUUCAAUAACUGAUAAAUUAUAUUUAUAAAUAUUAAUAGCGAUGGCACAUAAACAAUUAAUUCAAGAACUUGCCCAUAGUGAUUAAUUUAAAGAGUAUAAGUAACAUCGCAAUACAGUCUAGCCCUUACAUGUUUAAUUAGCAAUUGAAAACUACUGUUGCUGAUGAGGUAGAACAUUAUAACACUGUUGCUGAUGAGGCAGCUGGUAAUUCUUCUGGUGAAGAUAUUAAGACUAUUAAAGCUGAAAUGUAAUUAGAGAAAUAUAAUGCAUUCCCUUAGUUUGCUUUUUGUUUUUUAUAUUUGUUUGGCUAAUGCUUUGCUUAGAUUGCUUUUUGUUUUUUGAGAUUUUAUUGGCUUAGUCGUGGGGUAUUGUUUUCUCUUCUAAUUUCUAUUUUUGUUGUUAUGGGAUUUGAUUGUGGUGUACAUAUACGAAAAUUAUGUAAUCAAAUGCUUUCAAUAAAUUAUUUAAAUUAGUUUUCAACUGAGAUUUGAAUUUUGAAAUUACAUACACAAACAAGCCCAUUUUUUUUAAAUACUAAUAAUAAAAUAUUUCAUUUUUCAUCUAUUACUACAAGAGGUAUAAUCGCAAAAGUGAGGAAGGCAGUCAUCCUCUGUUCAAUUAUCAAAAACUCCUUUUACCAUCCAUUUGAACAUACACAAACACGCCCAAUUUGAAAAAAAAAAAAGUAGUCAUUUUAAAAUAUUUCAAUCGUCCACUGUUCAGUCACCAAAAACUCCUUUUACCAUCCAUUUCAACGCCUAAUUUGAAAAAAGAAAAUACUAAUAAUAAUAAAAUAUUCUAGUCGUCCAUCCUUUUACAAAUCAAAAAUAUCACCAAAAACCAAUUUCCAAUCUAUUUCAAAACAAAUUUUGCCAAAGUCCUCCUCGGCUAAUUAAUUCAUACAUUAAUACAGUCCUCCUCUGCUGAAUAAUGCAAACCCGUUACGUUAUUCUACCAUUUCUUAAAUUUAAAGCAUUCCACCAUUUAAUAAAAAAAAUUCGAAAACCCAUUAUAUACAAUACAAAAAGCCCACCGACACCAAACCAUAUUAAUUUAAAAUAGUUUUCAAUUGAGAUUUGAAUUUUAAAAUUACAUACACAAACACACCCGAUUUAAAAUAAUAAUAAUAAUAAUGCUAACAAUAAAAUAUUUCAGCCGUCCUCUGUUCGGUCACUAUUCACUAAAAACCAAUUUACCAGCUAUUACAACAAGAGGUAUAUGGGUUAACAAGUCCCAAUAUUGUCCUCCAUCCUUUCUGCACUUCUCUUCCAUCAACGGACAUCUCCAGAAAGUAUUUGAGCUUGGGACAUCCCCUGAGAAACAAUGAAGUGAGGUUUUGAAGAUCAACAAUUGAAGAAGAUAGGCGUUCCAGAUUUGGAAAAUUGAAAAUCUUCAGAGACGUUAGAGAGGCAGGAAGAGGAAGCGCGGUCCCUAAUCUUUUGUCCUCUAGUGGAAAUGACACCAUGUCCUCAUCACAUCCACUGAUUAAAAGAUAUCGCAGAGAGGAGAAUCUGUGAAAUCCCCGUCCCCGCUCAAUCAUUGACUUCCAAAUCUCCAUAUUACCCCAAAUAUUAAGUGACUGAAGGUUGGUGGGAAGGCCAUCUUCUUCUUCAAGGCUUGGAAGCGCACCUCCUUUUCCUAUUGUUAAGUCUUGAAGAGAGCUCAGUUUGUGCAAUCCCUUGGGUAAGGCCUCUAGUCUCUUACAAUUAGAUAUCGCCAGCCUCCUGAGUUUCGCACAAGGCAAUCCCCCUUCGGGAAAGGACACCAGAUUUCCACAACUCUGUAUAUCAAUCUCUCGAAGCUGGUGGAGUUUAUGUAAACCACUCG
rnacentral:lncRNA from 1 species